GGAUCAAUUUGCUGGUCGUGCCUCUGGUACGUACUGGUAUUGUUGGUUUCUCCCUUCUGACGAACCAUGAUGUCAUUUAUUUGGUGUUGUGGGGAAUCAGGACUGUUACUUUGAAAAAAUGAGAGUAUUUAAAGCAGGCUCACGCUUGAAUACAUUAGCACGUAAUAAUGAAAUAGGACGUUUGAUUCUAUUUUGUUGUUUUCUAGGAUCGACGUA
rnacentral:rRNA from 1 species